GGUGGMUAAUACCKCAUAAUGUYUCGGRCCAAAGCAGGGGCUCUUCGGKCCUUGCACUAUCGGAUGAACCCAUAUGGGAUUAGCURGUAGGUGGGGUAAAGGCUCWCCUAGGCGACGAUCUCUAGCUGGUCUGAGAGGAUGAUCAGCCMCACUGGGACUGAGMCRCGGCCCAGMCUCYUACGGGAGGCAGCAGUGGGGAAUAUUGCACAAUGGGCGCAAKCCUGAUGCASCCAUSCCGCGUGUAUGAAGARGKCCUUAGGGUUGUAAAGUACUUUCAGCGGGGAGGAAGGUGAUAAGGUUAAUACCCUURUCAAUUGASGUUACCCGCAGAAGAAGCACCGGCUAACUCCGUGCCAGCASCCGCGGUAAUACGGAGGGUGCAAGCGUUAAUSGGAAUUACUGGGCGUAAAGCGCACGCAGGCGGUCAAUUAAGUCAGAUGUGAAAGCCCCGAGCUUAACUUGGGAAUUSCAUCUGAAMCUGGUUGGCUAGAGUCUUGUAGAGGGGGGUAGAAUUCCAUGUGUASCGGUGAAAUGCGUAGAGAUGUGGAGGAAUMCCGGUGGSGAAGGCGGCCCCCUGGACAAAGACUGACGCUCAGGUGCGAAAGCGUGGGGAGCAAACAGGAUUAGAUACCCUGGUAGUCCACGCUGUAAACGAUGUMGAUUUAGAGGUUGUGGUCUGAMCCGUGGCUUCUGGAGCUAAACSGCMGKUUWAAAAC
rnacentral:rRNA from 1 species